rnacentral:rRNA from 1 species
AUUGAACGCUGGCGGCGGGCUUAACACAUGCAAGUCGAGCGGGGGAAGGUAGCUUGCUACCGGACCUAGCGGCGGACGGGUGAGUAAUGCUUAGGAAUCUGCCUCUUAGUGGGGGCCAACAUCUCGAAAGGGAUGCUAAUACAGCAUACGUCCUCCGGGAGAAAGCAGGGGAUCUAUGGACCUUGCGCUAAUAGAUGAGCAUAAGUCGGAUUAGCUAGUUGGUGGGGUAAAGGCCUACCAAGGCGACGAUCUGUAGCGGGUCUGAGAGGAUGAUCCGCCACACUGGGACUGAGACACGGCCCAGACUCCUACGGGAGGCAGAAGUGGGGAAUCUUGGGCAAUGGGCGGAAGCCUGAUCCAGCCAGGCCGCGUGGGUGAAGAAGGCCUUAUGGUUGUAAAGCACUUUAAGCGAGGAGGAGGCAACUUUAGUUAAUACCUAGAGAUAGUGGACGUUACUCGCAGAAUAAGCACCGGCUAACUCUGUGCCAGCAGCCGCGGUAA